GGGGAGCCUGAGAAACGGCUACCACAUCCAAGGAAGGCAGCAGGCACGCAAAUUACCCACUCCCGGCACGGGGAGGUAGUGACAAAAAAUAACGAUACGGGACUCAUUUGAGGCCCCGUAAUCGGAAUGAGUACACUUUAAAUCCUUUAACAAGGAUCCAUUGGAGGGCAAGUCUGGUGCCAGCAGCCGCGGUAAUUCCAGCUCCAAUAGCGUAUAUUAAAGUUGUUGCGGUUAAAAAGCUCGUAGUUGGUUCUGCGUGCCACGCUGUCGGUUCGCCGCCUGCCGGUGCUACUGGCAUGCCGUGGCAUGUCCUGUCGGUGGGUGUCCGGGGCCCCGUGCGGGCGGCAGGAGGCCGGGCUUGCCCGUGUCCCUCCCUGCACGUCGGCGGGUUCACUCCGGCUCCCUACUAUCCUACCUAGGUGCUCUUCACCGAGUGUCGAGGUAGGCCGACACGUUUACUUUGAACAAAUCAGAGUGCUUAAAGCAGGCUGAAAAAUUCUGCCUGAAUGAUGGCGCAUGGAAUAAUAAAACAGGACCUUGGUUCUAUUUUGUUGGUUCUUAGGAACACAAGGUAAUGAUCAAUAAGGACAGGCGGGGGCAUUCGUAUUGCGGGGUUAGAGGUGAAAUUCUUGGAUCCUCGCAAGACGACCGAGAGCGA
rnacentral:rRNA from 1 species